GGGUUGUGAGGUUAAGCGACUAAGCGUACACGGUGGAUGCCCUGGCAGUCAGAGGCGAUGAAGGACGUGCUAAUCUGCGAUAAGCGUCGGUAAGGUGAUAUGAACCGUUAUAACCGGCGAUUUCCGAAUGGGGAAACCCAGUGUGUUUCGACACACUAUCAUUAACUGAAUCCAUAGGUUAAUGAGGCGAACCGGGGGAACUGAAACAUCUAAGUACCCCGAGGAAAAGAAAUCAACCGAGAUUCCCCCAGUAGCGGCGAGCGAACGGGGAGCAGCCCAGAGCCUGAAUCAGUGUGUGUGUUAGUGGAAGCGUCUGGAAAGGCGCGCGAUACAGGGUGACAGCCCCGUACACAAAAAUGCACAUACUGUGAGCUCGAUGAGUAGGGCGGGACACGUGGUAUCCUGUCUGAAUAUGGGGGGACCAUCCUCCAAGGCUAAAUACUCCUGACUGACCGAUAGUGAACCAGUACCGUGAGGGAAAGGCGAAAAGAACCCCGGCGAGGGGAGUGAAAAAGAACCUGAAACCGUGUACGUACAAGCAGUGGGAGCACGCUUCGGCGUGUGACUGCGUACCUUUUGUAUAAUGGGUCAGCGACUUAUAUUCUGUAGCAAGGUUAACCGAAUAGGGGAGCCGAAGGGAAACCGAGUCUUAACUGGGCGUUAAGUUGCAGGGUAUAGACCCGAAACCCGGUGAUCUAGCCAUGGGCAGGUUGAAGGUUGGGUAACACUAACUGGAGGACCGAACCGACUAAUGUUGAAAAAUUAGCGGAUGACUUGUGGCUGGGGGUGAAAGGCCAAUCAAACCGGGAGAUAGCUGGUUCUCCCCGAAAGCU
rnacentral:rRNA from 2 species